rnacentral:pre_miRNA from 1 species
AAAAACUGUAGUUUUAAGUUUUUAUUUUCAACGUUUGAUUAUCUGUCUUGUUUAAAAUUUUUUAUAAUUAAUAUUUUUAUUGUUAUUAGAUGAUAAAAUAUGAACAGUACUUUACAAUAACUAUUUUUUAAAAUUUUUAUAAGUUUUUUUAAAUAAUACGGACGGUCAAAAAUAUUGAACAGGAAACACACCACUAUCCUCAAA